GAUCAUGGCUCAGGAUGAACGCUAGCUACAGGCUUAACACAUGCAAGUCGAGGGCAGCAUGGUCUUAGCUUGCUAAGGCCGAUGGCGACCGGCGCACGGGUGAGUAACACGUAUCCAACCUGCCGUCUACUCGUUGGACAGCCUUCUGAAAGGAAGAUUAAUACAAGAUGGCAUCAUGAGUCCACAUGUUCACAUGAUUAAAGGUAUUCCGGUAGACGAUGGGG
rnacentral:rRNA from 1 species